GGAAAGGUCCUGUAGUCUAGAUAGCAUUUGUCUGCUCCCAAACACCAAUAACUUGGUCUUUUCAGGGUUCAGAAGCAGGCAAUUGCUAAAACACCAAUUUCGGACUUUAGUCAAAUCCUCGUUAAUAUUCUCUAUAGCAAAAGAUUUACUUUGAGCUUUGAAGGAGUGCAGUAGACCUGUGUCUUCUACGUAGCAAUGUGGAUCACAGUUUUGAGGUGCAGUUGAGAGGUCGUUGACAUAGAUAUUAAAGAGUAAAGGCCCAACGAUACUUUCCUGCGGCACGCCGUUUGUCAAAGGCAAGGCAUCCGAUACUGUACUGUUUAUUCGUACAACCUGCUGUCUGUUGGAGAGGUAACUACUGAAUCAUUGUAAACACGAUUGUGAACCACCCAUAUCUUGUAACUUUGACAUCAAAAGAUUAUGAUUAACACAGUCAAAUGCUUCGCUCAUAUCCAAUAAGACCAGAGAUGUAACUUUCUUUUGGUCUAUAGCAUUUAGUAUGGAGUCUGUGAUAUUAAUUAACAAAGUUUUGGUCGAGAAUCCACGUUUGUUACCACUUUGCUUGCUUGAAAGCCGCUUUUUCAACGUAAGAUAUUCUACAAAUUGAUUAUAGGCAACCCUUUCGCAAAACUUUGAUAAAACAGGUAAUAAUGAUAUCUGUUAUUAUUCGCCACUUCCGGGUGAUCCUUUCCCUUUCGAAUUGGUGCAACUUCGGCAAUUUUCCAAACUAUAGGAUAGGCUGACGUAGUUAGUGAAGUGUUAAUAAUUGAUGUUAUUACUGGUAAAAUGGGCACAAUGCAAUCCUUAAUCACUCGAAUGGGAAUUUUGUCAACGACCUUAACAUGUGUAUGCGUAAUGUUUAACUUUUGGAUUUGUUACCAGUUUAAAUUUGUUUUACACAAGAUCGCUUUCGAUAGAUUCGAAUUGGGUAUAUGCAUAGGUGUGGUUGGGUUGCUCUCUUACUUACCGUCUCAUUUCUCGCUUCGUGAUACAACGUGACACGAGAAAGGGCGUGCGUUGCCCACAGUUAUCGCUUCUUGAAAUGUUUAUCGGUAUUGUGACAAUGAUAAUAAAAGCAUUUAUUUAAACACGACAAUAAUAUUACAGCAUAGCUGAUGUGAUCAUGUGACUAAUACUAUACACAUUAUAACUAAACUAAUAAUAAAAUGUGGCUAAUUUGAACUAAAUUAAUAUUUCACACAAUUGCAGACAACAGAAAUCACAUUAAUUGUUUUUGUUUGUGGAAACACCACGUAAAUUUAUUACUGCAGUAAUAAAUAAUAAAUUACUGCAAUAAAUAAUAAAUAAAUUAUUAUAAAUAAUAACUCAUUGUAUUAUUUAUUUAUAAAUAAUAAAU